GCUCCAUUUUCACUGAUGAGCAAAAGAGGUUACCCAGAGGAUAGCUUUGCAAUUGUUGCUCUUCCCAAGACUCAUACUCGCUUGAAGGAGGGACAGGUUAUUUUUUCCAUGUCCUUCUGCACUGCCUUGGUUAGCCUAGCUCACAAAACCAGGAACCAGACCAAGGCAGGGCCAUUCUGUGUGACACGGCUGUGCUUAGGCCUCGCGCUCCCUGGCAGCCAUUCCUGUUGGGGUGCCAGUAAGCAGGCCCCUCACGGGCCUUGCCACCAGGCUGCCUGCAUGCAAGGUGUCUUCUUGUAAGUGGAAGAUUAACCACUCACUCUGUGUACUCAGGGUUAACUUCAAAGCCCUCUGAAACCGAUGGGGAUUUUUCUGCCUGCUUCAAAGGGCUCUGGAUCAUGAACAUGCAGCAUGGGCUGCAGCAGUUAAUUUUUAAACUCUCAUUAUUUGAAAACUUCUUGUAAAGUUUACUGGAGCGUAUGGCUGGGGCAGAGCUUGCCAAAACAAUUGACAAGGCACAGCUAGGGAUUUCUUUCUAUUUAUCCUUUUCUGCCACAAAUGUGCCUUUUAAUCAGUCCUUGUAAUCAUUUACCCGUGUUUCCAACUGUCCUGCACAUUUAAUACUCAUUUUUUCCUCUUGUGAUAGCCCAUGCAAAGACUCGUGGGGCCCAGUGAUAUUCUGAAACACUUAGGGCUUCUUUGAGCUGGCCUAAAUUCCUUGGCUGGUCUGAGGUGCUCUCCAUCCCCCACUGAACAUCCCAGCUCCAAGCAUAAUUAAAGAUGAAAAAAGAAAGAAUUUGAAAAGUAGUUUCUAAAGCACUGAAGAAAUAGCUGAAUACAAACUAUUCCCUACUCAGAGCUGUCACUCUUUACCAGAUACCAACAAGCAUAAUUUCCAUAGUGAUGAACUCCAAAAAAUGAGGCACUAACCACCCCCAGAAUGCUGUCCAUUCGCUGCUGUGCCAUGUAUGUAUGUCGUUGUUCCCUGCAAUCCUUAAGAAAUUAGACUGCAUCAAAUUCAGUGGGAAGAUAUGUGAAGUAGUCCUCUGGAGAUGAUCAGUGUCCCUCUGCUGUUGUGGAGGAGAGCAGGUGAUGGAAGAGCUGAAACUCAUCAGAGACGGAUGACCUUUCUUAGAGAUACACCAGAACUCCUCACGGAGCUAGGAGCUGCAUGCAGACACUCCAGGGAAACUGGAUAUGAGUCACAAGCAGAAUAUACCCAUGGCUCCUGGGAAUGGCAGUGUACCAGCCUGGGGGAAACCCAGUGAAUCUGGGGGAAUGGCAGUGAACCAGUGCUGGGGACAGGUGUCUCCCUCUACUACCUCAGCAGCCUCUGAUGGCUUUCUCCUGGAGAUGGGGAUUGGAUAAUGUGGUAACACAGUAUGGUGAUGCAGGCUUAAUCCAUGGUCUGCAGUUGAGCUGUUUGCAACAGGUUGAUCAGGCUCGAUUUAUACAGCAAUAAGCCUCUGAUCUCUGCUCUCAAAGCUGAAGUGAUAAGAAGUUGUCUGUGGUAGACUUUUUAAUUUAGAAGUCUGAGCAAAUUGCUUUGGCUGCUGUGGAAUUGAAUAAGGGACACCCAACCAUAGCAUUUAAAACAAAAUGCAAAAACAAUCCAUGCUUCAAUGCACUGUAAAUCAAAGCAAAUCAAAUCAGAACUGGGCUAAGGCUGAAGUUGUAUAAUUCCAGAAGUUGGCAGACAUAUACUCUUCAUGGAGAAGGGUGUGCAUCACUUGGCUUCAGGGUGAAAAAAACAACCCUCAGUAACAUUUAAGUAAUAGUAGAAGCACAAAUUAUGAGAGACUGAGAAUUAAUCAUUUCCAGGAUUGCUGCAAGGACAUGUGCUAAGGUUUUUAGCAGAGACUGAUGGGAUUCCUCUCCAUGUUGACACGCAUGGUGUGGUCUGGAAAAGAUUUGAAGAGAUGCUAUUUCAAGCUAGGGGUCUUUGGCUGAAGAAAUUAGUAGGAGGGAGUUCAAAAUUGUCUGAUUGGCAAGCAACAGCCAAAUUCUCAACAAAGGAAACAAAACUCAAGAAACAACAGUCUGCAGUCCUCUUUGUAAUCUGAAGGAAGAAGAGGUGAAAACUGAAAAGAUGAAACAAGAACAGAGGAUUGACACAGAGAGGCUUACAAAAUAGCUUGAGAUGGAAGGCCUGGAAAUUUGAAUUCAAAACUCUGCUUGACAUUCCCAAGAAAAGGCAUUAAUGCAUAAAUAUAACCUUGCUGCAAAAGGAUGUGCGCCUGUGAGCUGUGAAUACCCCCACAGCUUCGUUGAACUCCAGAGGAUUCUCCAGGAACACAAGCCACGGAGCCCAAGAAACGAGAUAUCCCUUUAUUGUUCAUGAUAGUGGAACUGCAGGAACAAGGACUAAAUGAAGAGGAGAGAGGACUCUGAGCUUACCUCUUUAACUGGUCUUCCUCUGCUCCAUCCUCAGACAGCUUCAAGGUUUCAACAGAAAUUCACACCUUUAAGUCUUCCCUAGUGGCUUGUACAGCAGACUCACUAGCAGGGAUACUUGCUCAAUGCGAUAAGAUCCAUUAACUUUUUCCAAGUGUACAUGUUAUCGAGAGAGAGAGUCAUUCAAAUGUGCGCUUCUUUCCUGGGUAAGUCUUGUGAAGUCUGCUCUAAGUAGUUACAACAAGGAACAAGAAGUGAAAGCCACCUCUGUGACAGACUGAGCCUCCAGGUCGUUAUCGGGAGGUAUGAAACAUUUCAGUGAUUUCUGUGUGUCUUGAUGCUCUGUACACAUGUGGAAGAACUAAGGAAAAUUCAGUUUAAUGCUUGAAGAAGCCAGGACACCUGUGGAAAUUACAUAUUAACCAAACUCCAGAAAGUGCCAAUUCUACCUGUCAGUGACUAAAUAAGCUGAUGAAGCUCUCAUCAGCUUCACAGAAGUUAGAUAGAUUGUGUAAGGUUGGUGUUGGAGGAAAACAGCUUAGACAUUCAGCUAGUCACUCUGAAGUUAUCAUCCUGCUAUUUUAUGACAAAAAAGAAAAAAGUUAUAGAUUUUAAUGUUAAAAUGAAAAAUGUAAUUGUUGUAAACUAUAGAGAUUUCCAUUUAGAAGAGCAUAAUCAUCAUGUUGUUUUCUAACUAAUAUUCUGCCUUUUUUUCAGAGCAAAAAAAAAAAAAAUCAAAUGCAUACUACAGUAGUAUUUACAAAUACUGAAAUGAAUCAUAGAAUCAUAAAACCAUAGAACAUCCCAAGUUGGAAGGGACCCACAAGGAUCAUGGAGUCCAACCCCAGACUCCACACAGCACCACCCCAAAUCAAACCCUAUGUCUGAGUGUUGAACUCCGGCACUCGGGGCCGUGCCCACAGCCCUGGGCAGCCCGUUCCAUGCCCACCGCCCUGUGGUGCAGCCCCUGUCCCUAACCCCCAGCUGCCCCUCCCCUGACACAGCUCCAUGCCGUUCCCUCGGGCCCUGUCGCUGUCACACAGAGCAGAGCUCAGCGCUGCCCCUCCGCUCCCUGUGAGGAGCUGCAGCCGCCAUCAGGCCUCCCCUCAGCUCCUCUGCUCUGCGCUGAGCACACACAGGGGCCUCAGCCGCUCCUCACACGUUUUGCCUUCUGGACCUUUCACCAUCAGUGUAGCCCUCCUUUGGAAGCUCUCUAACAGUUUUGUGUCCUUUAUAUACUGUGGUGUCCCAAACUGCACACGCUGUUAAUGUAAGCCCCCAACUCACAACUAGGAUUUCUCUGCUUUUUUGUUGUUGUUUGCUUGUUUCUUUGUGUGCUUCUUUGCAUCCUAAUUAUGACAGGUUAAGUUAAACACAUAUCAGUGAGUUAAGCAUGCACCCAUACCAAGAGAUGAAGCAUAUGUAAGUUUUGACUUUCCCACAGACCAUUACAUUUAAAAAAAAAAAAAAAAAAAGGAAUCAGUGAACAGAUCAUGAAGUACCUGACACAAUGCAGAGGCAUUGGUAACUAACAGAUGCACAGCGACAACUGACAACUUUAGGGCAUGCACAUCCUUAAUGGCUAAUGAACUUCUCAGGAGGAUGUGAACAAGGAAGAAUUCACCAAGUUCCUCCUCUGGUUCUUCCCUUUGCUCUUGCCACCAACAUGCUUCCCAGCAGCACAGGGGCAGCUGGGUGCAGAUCAAUCCCUGAAUGCAGAAACAAGGUGGCCAUUGCUGAGCACACGAGUCCCUGCCUGCUGGAGGUGAGUCACGGCAGGGAGGCACACCUUUCUCUUUAUCAGCUAUUCUUACCCUGCUGGGCCUGAAACGUUCAUUACAGCUUAUGUUUGGUUGGUUUGGUUCAUUUUUUUUUUCAUAGAAAAUAGUACAAAUGAGCAAAGCAACUUGUGGAAAACAUCUUCCAUCUUUAUAAAGAAAUUAGAAAAUAUUCAGGAUACUGAAAGCCUAAAGAAUUAAUUAUGUUGACUGAAAGCAACUGGAAUUUGAGAGAAACUACUUCUACUUUAAAGUAGAAAAGAUUUUUUUUGUAUGUUCUCUCACACAGACGGCAAGUGUAUUUACUAAAUGCUGUAGAAAAGAAACAAAUAUGGAAAAAAGUAGCAUGGAGUCAAAAGGAAUUCACCUAAAAAAGAAGAACUAUAACCACUGUAUGUGUGCCCACCUCCAUUAAACAUGUGCCCUUUUGCAGAAACCUGCACAGGAUUGUCCAGGGAAUUGAUGUAGCCUGUAGUUAAUCAUUGAUCAUCUUCCAAAGUAAAACUGCAAGUCACGUGACUUGGUGAGUAGCAUAUAGGAGAAGAAUGUAAUAAGUCAAUAUUUAGCCACUAGAUUAUUAUUUCCAGUUGUAUGAUGUAGAGCAAACAGUACGGUGUACGAACACCCAUUUCCUUAAUAAGAAAAUAAGGUAGUAAUGCCAACAAAAGAUUAUUUCUAUUACAGAACAGUAACGUGGCCAUAGGUUUUUUUGUACUUUAGCUUCACUUAUUAAACAAAGAUUCUUCCAUCACUGCAUAGCUUAGGUAUUGCCUUUGUUUGCUGUACAGUUUGUGUACUGCUAUUGAAAGGUGUUGGAAAUAACCUGUUGAGGAGUUGCCUAUGAAGAAAGAGGAGAGAUGACUGUAAAACAACCUUCAAGCAUACUAAAAUCAGUGCUUUGAAAAUGUUCAGGGUACUUUAUGUUGGAGUGUUUCCCCUUAAAUGCAUUUUCCAAUAUACAACCCAUGUGCUUUAAAAAGUUGCUUGCUGUUAUCAUGAGAAGAGACUUAAUGAUGAUCUCAUUGCAUGAUUUGUAAUUAUAAAUGUAACUACAGAUGCUCCAUUUUCUGAGGAUCCUCCUGAGAAUCAAAACACCAAGAACUUGAUCGUAGCACCUGCACCCAACCACAGCCUUGGAAAUAUGUGUCAUUAUGUAAUCAACAUGAGCAAACCAUUGAGUCAAAAUUGGGAACACCCAAAUUGGCUGUGCACAUUCUGAUGGAAAGACAAGAAGCACCAGUACUGAGGCAUUAUAAAACAUACAGAAUCUAUUUUUUUUUAAUCAAAAUAAAAUGAUAAAAAAUGUAUGAUCAAUGUAAGUGACUUCAGUUGUAAUGUAAUUUCUUUAUCAGUGGUAUGUAACUUUAGUUACAUUGUGGUGCACAAGCAGGUUUCUUGCUUUGUAGAGUAAGCGUUCUGAUGUAAUGUAAUUGAAAUAAUAAACUCUUUCAAGAACACUA